UUUUUUUUUAAAAAACCCUACACAUUACUGUCUUAAUAACCUAUUGCUCAGCCACACGGCAUUGACUGUGUGAGCGUUGACCUCAGUGAUUACGUAACCGCUUAUCGCUUUCUGUUUACAAACAUUACAAGCGCAGACGCGUGCUGCUAUAAAGACUACUACAGCACGCGUCCGGAAUAACAUCCCACACUGUGGACUCGGAAAAUUCUGACCGCUAGCGUGAGCCGAGAACCGCUGGUCGUACAUUGGGAACAUUGUCGCCUGUAUAGGCGGUUACUUGUCAGGACCUACGGUUAACAUUUCAAUAACCCAACUGACAAAAAGCAUCUGAAUCACAUUUUUCUGUUGCCUAAUAUACCGAUAAUUUGAAAUACCAUUGACAAGAAGUGGAGAAGUUGCUACAGCAUCCUUACAACAUCUUCCUCAGAAGUAAGGCUCAUUUCCCAUCUUGAUUACUGGCUGCUCUAUGUACCUCUCCACAUUUAGAAGAGAUAAUUGUGAAGAUUCAAGAUGACUCUUGAGGAACUCACAGCUUAAGAGAGCCAUAAUUUAUAACAUAAGUGUGCAAAAUCAGUAUUGGUACAGUGAAUCACUGAAGUCAUUACAUGAUUUGAAAGGGAUAAUAAAUGUGAAGUACACCUUGUUUAAGUCACCCUAUACCACAAUUUUCUACUGUGCAUUUAGUGAUAACGACUUGCUAGUGUGCGAUAUUGAUCUGUCAAUCUCUGCCACCAUGUAAUUGUGAUUGUGAUAACAGAGUGACCUGUAGCGUAGCCAAGGUCAUGUUAGGUUGGAAGACUGCAAGUUUUAAGGUUGAUAAUGUGCAAGUGAAAACAGUGGAAAAAACUGCUCUUGCAGUUGGCACUAGAUCUAGUAUUUAUGCAAUAUUUGAAAACACAGACAAAUGUUUAACUACAUAUUGUACUGUCUGAAAAAAAUAUCCAUUUUGUGAAUACAGUUGUUAAAACAUUUGAUAAAUUUACAUAAUAGACACCAGAUUGCAUUUUUAGUAGUUUAUGUUCGAUGUAUGUGUGUAAUAUGCAUCAAUAUACUCAUCAGAGCCUUA